rnacentral:rRNA from 1 species
UACGGAGGAUGCAAGCGUUAUCCGGAAUGAUUGGGCGUAAAGCGUCCGCAGGCGGCAAUGUAAGUCUGCUGUCAAAGCGUCUGGCUCAACCAGAUAAAGGCAGUGGAAACUACAUAGCUAGAGUAAGGUAGGGGUAGAGGGAAUUCCUGGUGUAGCGGUGAAAUGCGUAGAGAUCAGGAAGAACACCAGUGGCGAAGGCGACUCUUUGGCCUGUAACUGACACUGAGGCGCGAAAGCGUGGGGAGCAAACAGG